rfam:Atopobium vaginae DSM 15829 Contig27.fasta, whole genome shotgun sequence.
GGGUCGUUAGCUCAGUUGGUAGAGCAGGGGACUUUUAAUCCCAAGGUCGUGGGUUCGAUUCCCACACGACCCA